rnacentral:rRNA from 1 species
AUGACCCUCAAGCCCCCGGCUGGACUAAAAGGUAUCUACUGCGCUAAAGCCCCUCGAAAAGUAUGCGGGAGUGAUGCUGGAGGUAGCGCAGUUGGAAAUUUCAUUGGUUUAGUAGCUCCAGAACGCAAACGGAAGGCCGGUCGACCAACCAGCAGCAGAGACAAGCCUCCAUAUGGUGAUCUCGGUGCAAAGAGCAAAAAAGGGCACAAGAGCACAACAUGUCCACAGAAGGGUGAGCUCCCUCAAAAGAAAAGGAAAAAAAGCCAAAUGCUCAAAAUGCGGAGUGGGAGGGCUUCACAAGAACACCUGCGACAAUCCAAAGAUUGUUUACAUGUUCCUCAGAAAGCUACACAUGAACGACCUGUGGAAAUGUGA